rnacentral:rRNA from 1 species
UGGGGAAUAUUGGACAAUGGGCGAAAGCCUGAUCCAGCCAUGCCGCGUGUGUGAAGAAGGUCUUCGGAUUGUAAAGCACUUUAAGUUGGGAGGAAGGGCAGUAAGUUAAUACCUUGCUGUUUUGACGUUACCGACAGAAUAAGCACCGGCUAACUCUGUGCCAGCAGCCGCGGUAAUACAGAGGGUGCAAGCGUUAAUCGGAAUUACUGGGCGUAAAGCGCGCGUAGGUGGUUUGUUAAGUUGGAUGUGAAAGCCCCGGGCUCAACCUGGGAACUGCAUCCAAAACUGGCAGGCUAGAGUACGGUAGAGGGUGGUGGAAUUUCCUGUGUAGCGGUGAAAUGCGUAGAUAUAGGAAGGAACACCAGUGGCGAAGGCGACCACCUGAACUGAUACUGACACUGAGGUGCGAAAGCGUGGGGAGCAAACA